rnacentral:rRNA from 1 species
CUCUCGGCAACGGAUAUCUCGGAUCUCGCAUCGAUGAAGAACGUAGCGAAAUGCGAUACUUGGUGUGAAUUGCAGAAUCCCGUGAACCAUCGAGUCUUUGAACGCAAGUUGCGCCCGAGGCCACUCGGCCGAGGGCACGCCUGCCUGGGCGUCACGCCACCCAU